AGAACUUAGCAGAGAUGCUUUGGUGCCUUCGGGAACUCUGAGACAGGUGCUGCAUGGCUGUCGUCAGCUCGUGUUGUGAAAUGUUGGGUUAAGUCCCGCAACGAGCGCAACCCUUAUCCUUUGUUGCCAGCGGUCCGGCCGGGGAACUCAAAGGAGACUGCCAGUGAUAAACUGGAGGAAGGUGGGGAUGACGUCAAGUCAUCAUGGCCCUUACGAGUAGGGCUACACACGUGCUACAAUGGCGCAUACAAAGAGAAGCGACCUCGCGAGAGCAAGCGGACCUCAUAAAGUGCGUCGUAGUCCGGAUUGGAGUCUGCAACUCGACUCCAUGAAGUCGGAAUCGCUAGUAAUCGUAGAUCAGAAUGCUACGGUGAAUACGUUCCCGGGCCUUGUACACACCGCCCGUCACACCAUGGGAGUGGGUUGCAAAAGAAGUAGGUAGCUUAACCUUCGGGAGGGCGCUUACCACUUUGUGAUUCAUGACUGGGGUGAAGUCGUAACAAGGUAAGCGUAGCGAG
rnacentral:rRNA from 1 species